UGGGCCCAUUUCUUGACUGAAAUUUGAUUAUAGCUUGAAAAAUCGUCCAUUUAUGGAUUUCGGUCAAUUUCUGUUUGGAAUUUGGAAAAACUUUCUUCUGCAAAGUUGUAGAAAAUUGAAUUUCCUAUAAAAAUUUGCGAGAUUCGAAUUUUCUGAUAAAAGAGCUAUUUAUUAUAAAUUAUUGAAGUUCUGAGGUUCCAGAAUAAUUGAUUUUUGGAAGUUUAAAAUAUUUAUAGUUAGAAAAACGUUUUUAUUGUUUUGGUUGGCCCCCCAUGUGUUGCAAAUGGCUGAAAUUAGAUUUUCAAAGUAGGCGUAGGAUUU
rnacentral:lncRNA from 1 species